rnacentral:rRNA from 1 species
UACGAAGGAUCCUAGCGUUGUCCGGAUUUACUGGGCUUAAAGGGAGCGUAGGCGGUCUUUUAAGUCAGUGGUGAAAGCCUGCAGCUUAACUGUAGAAUUGCCAUUGAAACUGAUUGUCUCGAGUGCGGUUGAGGUCACUGGAAUGUAUCAUGUAGCGGUGAAAUGCUUAGAUAUGAUACAGAACACCAAUUGCGAAGGCGGGUGACUGGGCCGUAACUGACGCUGAGGCUCGAAAGCGUGGGGAGCAAACAGG